rnacentral:rRNA from 1 species
AGCAGUAGCCACGGUAAUACGUAGGGUGCGAGCGUUAAUCGGAAUUACUGGGCGUAAAGCGUGCGCAGGCGGUUCGUUAAGACAGAUGUGAAAUCCCCGGGCUUAACCUGGGAACUGCAUUUGUGACUGGCGAGCUAGAGUAUGGCAGAGGGGGGUAGAAUUCCACGUGUGGCAGUGAAAUGCGUGGAGAUGUGGAGGAAUACCGAUGGCGAAGGCAGCCCCCUGGGCCAAUACUGACGCUCAUGCACGAAAGCGUGGGGAGCAAACAGGAUUAGAUACCCCCGUAGUCCCUGUCUCUUAUAC